rnacentral:rRNA from 1 species
GACGAACGCUGGCGGCGUGCCUAAUACAUGAAAGUCGAGCGAACGGACGAGAAGCUUGCUCCUUGGAUGAGAGCGGCAGGCGGGGGUGUAACAUGUGGAUAACCUACCUAUAAGACUGGGAACUCCUCGAGAAACCGGAGCAAAUAGGGGAGGAUAUUCUGAACCACAGGGUUCAAAGGUGAAAGACGGCCUUGCUGUCACUUAUAGAUGGAUCCGCGCUGCAUGAGCUAGUUGGUAAGGUAACGGCUUACCAAGGCAACGAUGCAUAGCCGACCUGAGAGGGGGAUCGGCCACACGGGAGCUGAGACGCGGUCCAGACUCCUACGGGAGGCCGCAGUAGGGAAUCUUCCGCAAUGGGCGAAAGCCUGACGGAGCAACGCCGCGUGAGUGAUGAAGGUCUUCGGAUCGUGAUACUCUGUUAUUAGGGGAGAACAGAUGUGUAAGUAACUGUGCACAUCUUGACGGUACCUAAUCAGAAAGCCACGGCUAACUACGUG